UGAUUACGUCCCUGCCCUUUGUACACACCGCCCGUCGCUACUACCGAUUGGAUGACUUAGUGAGGUCUUAGGACCGAGGUGAAGGUGCCUUAACGGGUGCCUACGCUUUGGAAAUUUGAUCGAACUAAGUUAUCUAGAGGAAGUAAAAGUCGUAACAAGGUUUCCGUAGGUGAACCUGCGGAAGGAUCAUUAACGAGCUACGAGAAAGUCGAAUCGUAGGAGAGACGCCGAUAAAAAGGCGACUCUCACUUUCUCGGUUUAUAUCCGGUCUGAGCGAACCGAUCGUAUAUACGCGGUAAGGCGCUUUAGCGCAAAGUCCGUUUGUCGGUUCCGAGCUCGAAUGUUAGCAUCAGAUUCGGAAUAGUGAGAUGUAAAGCGAUAACCGUGAGCGUUCGAGUGUCUUGAACGAAAGGAGACCUCGACGAUCGAUAUACUCGCGUUCAGUAUCUGUCGCGGGACAUUGGGACGCGUUGGUUGUAGUGGAGUAGAUACCUACCCACCGUCCUAAUAUUAAUCCCGCGCGAAUAUCACGGAUUACUGAAACGCGAAAGGAAAUAAUGUAAGUAAGGGAAAUAACGCCCAGUUAUCGAAUGCUUUACGAAAGGAGAUUCUCACUAAUUCAGACGUCCCGGGGAAAUGGUUCCUUACGAACGGUUAUAAGGAGCCUUUCCCUUUAUCGGGUACCUAUCGAAUUCUAACGCCGCGGUAACCGUCUGGCCGCGUGAACGAGUUAUGCGUUAGAUUCGGCAUCCCUAUUCGAUGGUUUCAUUGAUCGACUCGUGUGUUUUGACCCGAUCGUUUUAUGGGUUCGAUUGAAUAAACACGAGAGGUUGGAGUCGAGGAAAGCGAAUACGGGUUAGGUUUAAAGAGUCAUUGGGUUCCUGUUUUUUGUAAGGAACGGGCCGAUUUCGAGCGAUCGAAUUAGAGUACACCCGGCGAGUGUUAGUACUGGUAGUAUCGAACGAAUGUAUAUACUACCGGGAAGAGACUCUGCGUGAAGCGUGUAUAUGUCGUAAGAAAUGGCUCGGGACGCGAAUCGUCCGGGUGACCGCCCGAUAAAAAUAUAUAUUUUUAUGUAUAUUUUUAAAUGUUCACUCGAUUGAUAGGAGCGAACAAAAAUCGAAUCCUUAGCGAUUCCAUUCUAAGUGGUGGAUCACUAGGCUCGCGGGUCGAUGAAGAACGGGGCCAGCCCCGAGAAUAAGUGCGAAUUGCAGACACAAAGAGCAUCGACCAUUCGAACGCACAUUGCGGUACCGGGCCAGCUCGGUACCACGCCUAUCUGAGGGUCGAACGAGCGAUAAAAAGCAUCGUAUUCGAAGGACGUUAGUAAUGUAGCCGCAGUCGGUAUAUACACCGUUCGUUUUAUUCCGAAUCGAAAGGUUUUUAAUUCGGACGAAACGAAUACGAACGAACGGUCGAAAGGUUAUAUCGACGAUGGUUGAAUUCUAUGAACGCGUCCGGGAAAGAUUGGACUAGAGGCCGUCUACGGUCGUCUUGUCCUAAGGUCUUUUUUUACAGUUCGAAUCGAAUAUAUGACUGUAAAUACAGACCAGACGAAAGCAGGGGGAAUAUAUGUAUAUACGAAAGGUUUUUAUGUAUACAUAUUAGUACCCCUUCUUUUAAGCUCCAGUAACACGCGCGAAUCUUAGCGUAUAUAUAGUCUGUCCCGACGACGAAUAGUUUUUAUCGCCUUCGCCGUUCGCGAGAAUGGCCGGAUAAGUAAUGAAGGUGGUUUGUAGUCGGAUGAAUGUAUAACGGCAGUUUAUAUAUAUGUACGCGUGCGAAAGAGCCUCGAAUAUCGACCUCAGAUUAGACGAGAUUACCCGCCGAAUUUAAGCAUAUAAUUAGGCGGAGGAAAAGAAAUUAAUAAAGAUUUCCUUAGUAACGGCGAGUGAAA
rnacentral:misc_RNA from 1 species